rnacentral:rRNA from 1 species
AGAGAGAGACAUGCGCGCAUAUCAAUAAGCGGAGGAAAAGAAACUAACAAGGAUUCCCCUAGUAACGGCGAGUGAAGCGGGAAGGGCUCAAAUUUGAAAUCUUCAAGGUUUUACCUUGACGAAUUGUAGUUUAAAGAAGUGUUUUCGGUUAGAGGAGUAGUAAAAGUUCUUUGGAAUAGGACAUCAUAGAGGGUGAGAAUCCCGUAUUUGACUAUUCUUUCUAGCUUUGUGAUACACUUUCAAAGAGUCGGAUUGUUUGGGAAUGCAGUCCAAAAUGGGUGGUAAAUUUCAUCUAAAGCUAAAUACUGGCGAGAGACCGAUAGCGAACAAGUACCGUGAGGGAAAGAUGAAAAGAACUUUGAAAAGAGAGUUAAACAGUACGUGAAAUUGUCAAAAGGGAAGUGUUUGACACCAGUGUUGUUUUCUCGAAAAUCAAUUAAAAAUGGCGGGAUUUUGUGUUGUAUUGACUUUAUCUGCUUUCUGCACUUUUUUCCUGUCUUUUUUAAUGCACUUUUCGUUUAACAAGUCAACAUCAAUUUCUUUUGUUGUAAAAGGGUCAUUGGAAGGUGGCUUUCUUUUCGGAGAAAGUGUUUAUAGCCUUUGCCUCUGCAAUCGGAGAGAUUGAGGUCUGCAGCGUAGAUCCUUCGGGGUUAGAUACAUUUGUGCUAAGCUUAUAGCCUUUCAUAGACAACUUGUUGACUAUGAUCAGUCAUGUAGCUUACUCGCUUAUGCUAUUUUACCUACGCUUAGGAUGUUGACAGCAGUAUAGACUGU